ensembl:snoRNA
CUGCAUGUUAAGAGAAAACGUCAUUCUGCUCCUCGUUCCCUUAAGGAGCAUGAAUAUCUAUAUAACAUGCUAGAGAAAACAAGGAGUCUUCAGGGCCGCCAGUCUUGCAGAAGAGGCUGAGUGGUAGUAUAUGUCUCCUACAUAU